GUUGAUGGUCAAAGAUUAAGAUCAACAUUUUUCUGGUCCUAGUUAAUUCUUACAAAAAUGGCCACAACUUUAGUGUUAAUUUGAACAUUGAACAUUAUAGUCAGCUGCUUUAGCUCUUUAUCUGUUUGUGGGCAUUUUUCUUACUACAGCAGAGGGCUAGUUCUAGCUAACCCCAAGUCCCUGAGUUUAAUACAAUCUUUCUAGUAAGGAAAGUAAUUUUUAAUAAUAAAUGUAUUUAUAAAGCGCCUUUCAAGACACCCAAGGACACUGUACAAUAGAUGAAAACACAUAAUAACAUGUCUUUACAUGUUUGAUAUUCAGUUUUGUAAUGGGGAAUUAUUUCUCAGUAGAUUUCACAAGAAAGUCAAGUACUGUGGAUUUAUUGAUACAACUGAAAGUUGUUAACUAGCUGUCUAGCUCUCUGCCUAGUAAAACAUUCUGAGUGGGUGUGUUGUGAUGGUAAUCAGGGUAAGUGGGGAGUAUUUGUGUUUGUUUCUGUAAGCAUGAUAGUGUGUAGGAGGAGGAUUUUUUUUCUUUCUUUUCUUUUGGUUUUUUUUUUUAAAGUUGCUUAUAAAUAAAAUUUUAGGUUAGUGUUUAAAGAUGCAACUAGCUUUGGUAAUAAAGACUGCCUAGUGCUCGGUUUACACAGUGGCUGUGGAGAAUUUCUAAACAGACAGUCCAGUUCUAUUUUUGUUGUGAUUACUCUAAUCAUUCAAGCCCCCUGAACUUCCUGCUGUGCUUUUUGCAUUUAUUCAUGAGUACCGAUGUAGCAUAUCAAAGGAAAGAGAUUAUAUGAUUAUCUUGACUGCCUAUGAUCUGGUUAGCAUUUUGUACGUAUGUUUUUCCCAUAUGUGUGCCAAACAUCAGUUGCACCAAAUUUCAGUAGGCGGAUGUUUGACAGUCAUGCAGUACUACUCUUAGAUAACUUUUUCUAAAAUCCUUUUAAAGAACACAUCUACAAGUCUAUAGAUUCUGCCAGUUUUUGGUCGUCUGUAUCCUCUCCAAUUUAUAUUGAUCAAUUACGGCCAUUAGCAGGACUUAAACCAUAAAAUCCAGUAUGAACGUGCCAUGAAAGAAAAUUACAAAUUCUAAUGUGAGUCCUCUGUUUUCCUGCUCAACUAUAUGUUUUCACUGAGAAUCCAUUAAAAGUUCACAAGGACACAACUAAAUCGAAAGUACCAGCAGAGAAGUCACA
ensembl:lncRNA